rnacentral:rRNA from 1 species
CUACUGGGGUUUCUAAUCCUGUUCGCUACCCACGCUUUCGCUCCUCAGCGUCAGUUACUACCCAGAGACCCGCCUUCGCCACCGGUGUUCCUCCUGAUAUCUGCGCAUUUCACCGCUACACCAGGAAUUCCAGUCUCCCCUGUAGUACUCAAGUCUGCCCGUAUCGCCUGCACGCCUGCAAUUGAGUUGCAGAAUUUCACAGACGACGCGACAAACCGCCUACGAGCUCUUUACGCCCAGUAAUUCCGGACAACGCUCGCACCCUACGUAUUACCGCGGCUGCUGGCAC